ACCAGGAUGGCAGAGUGGUUAAGGCGUUGGACUUAAGAUCCAUUGGACAUGUAGGUUCGAACCCUACUCCUGGUA